GGACGGACGUGUGUGGAACGGACAGCGGUUCCAGGGAGGAGGACACCGGACCUCGGGAGUUCGGAGGGUGGCCGGAGUCUCGGAAGGACGUUGUGAAGGGAAUCAGAGGCCCCGACUCCACGGUCUUCUACCCAUAACCUUUGAUGCAGUGUCCAAUCAAGAACCCAUCAAGCUCUGCCGUCAGGUUUUUUGUAUAAGUAUUGUGAGUCGACUUUCCGUGGAUGAAAUAUUUCACCCAGUGGAACAAGAAACGAGAUGGCGAGCCACCCAAGAUGAAGAACCAGUGCGGGAACGAAAUGUUUAAUGACAUAGAGGAUUUAAUACCGCUGGAUGUAUCGGUUUAUUUUCAUUCGAAGGGUCUGAAUUUGAUUUUCUGCAAGAACUGAUUAUUUUUGCAAAGACUUUAAGUUACUGAAG